rnacentral:lncRNA from 1 species
ACCAGCUGUCUGCAGACACACCAGUUCCCGCCCCCGACCACCGCGGUCAGGAAGCGGAAGUGGCGGGUGACCGGCGCCCGAAUCCCCGCCCCUCACGCCUUUGCAGGCCACUGGAAAUGUGGGAAUCCCGGAAGAGGCGGGCACAAGUCAACGGAGGGGCGGGACAGGGCGGUGUACUACACAGUGGCGGUUAAUUUGAGAUGGUUUCCUUAGUACCCCGCGUAUUUUGAGCCUGUGGGGACCUCUCCCGGUACCUGCCCAGUACCGUCUUAGUAGGAGUACGCUCCCGGGGCCUCGCCUUUGCAGGCCACUGGAAAUGUGGGAAUCCCGGAAGAGGCGGGCACAAGUCAACGGAGGGGCGGGACAGGGCGGUGUACUACACAGUGGCGGUUAAUUUGAGAUGGUUUCCUUAGUACCCCGCGUAUUUUGAGCCUGUGGGGACCUCUCCCGGUACCUGCCCAGUACCGUCUUAGUAGGAGUACGCUCCCGGGGCCUCAGCAGGCUUUUAUCAUCUGGUCCGGAACUCCCAGCGGUUCAGCGCUUCUUCUCUUACUGGAUACCGAUAACGACGUAUUUGAACUUGGCCCAGGUCAGCCUGGUCCUUCCUAGAGCUAGGAGUCAUAGAUGCCAGGACGUAUGAGCCACUUCAAGAAGCAUCGCAAUAAGACAAAUUUGCCCCUGGCUUUAAACCCUAUGAAGAGCAAGGACGUGUUGGCGGUGCUGGCUGAGAGGAAUCAGGCUGUCGUACCAGUUGGGGCAUGGGUGGAACCUGCCUCACCAAAUAGCUCGGAAAUCCCAGCAUAUACUUCAGCAUGUAUAAUUGAAGAAGAACUAAAGGAACAGUCAAGAAGAAAAGAAGAAGCUUUGAAACAUUUUCAGAGACAAGUCAAACACCGAGUCAAUCAACAAAUUAGGCUGAGAAAAAAGCAACAGCUUCAGAAGUCUUAUGAAGCAGCAGAAAAAGAAGGUUCUAUAGCCAUGCGAUCUUUUGAUCCAGCACACUUAACUCCUAAAAGGACAAGUGUUUUUCCAAGCAAUUUGAAUGCUGCUUUUGGAAGUUCUAGGUUGCCUCCUUCCCAGAUGCUUAGGGAUGCAAUAGAAGAUGGAGAAAAUCAGAAUGGGUUGUUCCAACAAAAAGCCCAGGCUCUUAGUCAGACCAUGAAACUGGCACAUCAUCGGCUGGCAUCCUUUAAAACUGUGAGUGAAAAAAUGUCAUCAGUGUUUCCAAAUGGCAAAAAGAAAACCUCUCCCACUCAAGAGAAAGUGAAAUUCAAAAAUCCAUUAUUUGUUGUGAUGGAAGAGAAAGAACAAAAUCAGUGGCAUUGUCAUGAUCUUCAGAAUAUUCUGCCAGAAGCCCAGGGUGAUUUGAUAGAGGUCCAGAGUGUUGAGCCUGAAACGCAAAGUGUUGAGCCAGAUACCCAGGCUAUUAAUUUGGCAGUUCAGUCUGCUGUGCCAGAAGGCCAGGCCAUUAAGACAGAAACUCAGAGCAUUAUGUUAAGAACCUGUAGUUUCAAGCUAGAAGAUGGAAAUAUUGAGUUGGAAGCCCAGGAUUUUCUACCCACAAAUCAGGCCUUUCUACCCAAAGACAAUUGUGUUUCCCCCAAAGGCCAGUAUACUCUACACAACUGUCAGGACCAGAAUUUUCUACAUAAUGACCAGUAUUUUCUACUUAGAAACCAACAUGUUUACUCCAGAGAACAGGAUAUUCUAUUCAAAUGUCAGGAUGAGAAUUUUCUACCCAAUGACCAGGAUUUUCUUCAUAGAGACCAGUGUGUCCUUCCCAAAGACCAGAAUAUUCUACCCAAAUGCCAGGAUCAAGACUUUCUACCUGAACACCAGGGUUUUCUACCCAGAGACCAGUAUCUUCUUCCCCAAAACCAGAAGGUUCUACCCAAAUGUCGGGACCAAGACUUUCUACCGGAAGGCCAGGAUUUUCUACCCAGAGACCAAUGUGUUCUUCCCCAAAAUGAGAAUAUUCUACCUAAAUGUCAGGACCAAGAUUUUCUACCAAAAGGUCAAGAAUUUCUCUCCAAAGACCACAGUAUAAUACCCAACUGUCAAGACCAGGAUUUUCUUCCCAAAGACCAAAGUGUUCUUCCUAAAGGCCAGAAUACUCUAUACAAAUGUCAGAAGCAGGAUUUCCCACCCAGAAAUCAGGUAAAAUAGACUAGAAAGGCGAUUUAAGAAGAAGGAAUGAGCUACUGAGGGUUAGCUACUUAGAGGUACUUGGAGUGGGAUUUGCAAGGAUUGUAUUAUAGCUGAUUUAGACAUCCAUGAUUAGGAAAUAGUUUCCUGAUUGGUUUCUCAAAACUCCAGGGUUCAUACUAAGUGUUAAAGUAUUAUCAGCAGCAUAUUACCCCAUCUGGACCAUUUAUUUACUUGCUUACAUUCUUUUUAAAAAUAUUUUUCAUUAGAGAAACUAUUUCUGUCAGCCAUUCUCUGCUUUUACAGCUGAAAGAUGGAAAAAGGAGUGGCCCACAGGUACCCAACAGCAUCUUUCACACAGGUUCCAAGGCCAGCCUUCCACCAGAGAUCAGUUAGAGCAAAAGGAAGAAGGGGAUUAACAGAAAGUAAGUUAGUUAGGGUGUGGCUGGGCAGAGAUGCCCUUUGUACUCUGAACUCAGGUUAACUCCAGAUUUCUCUCUGAAGCCUGAAGUUUUAAGUUAAUUUGUCAUUCUUAAGUAAGUGAUUAAUUUUUUUGUGUUUUUUUAGGAAGCAAAUUUGAAACCGUCAGCACCAAUUUUGAGAGUCAGGCAAGGGAAAGANNNNNNNNNNNNNNNNNNNNNNNNNNNNNNNAGGAGCUUCCUCUGGAUGUCCAUCAGGAUCUAUUCAGGCAUGAUCAGGCCUCUACCAGGGACAAGGUAGAACAGAAAAGAGAUGGAGACCAGCAAGAGUGGAAUUUUUUUUUUUUUUUGGUACCGGGGAUUGACCUCGGGACCUUGCGCAUCCAAGGCAGGCGCCUGAACCACUAAGCUAAAUCCCCGGCCCCUUUUUUUUUUUAAGAGUGGAACUAUCGAGGGUUGAGUUUUGAGCUUACAAAGAUUGUUAAACUAAACUUCAGAACCGACAAAAAAUAUGAUUUCUGUUUUAUUCCAUAAUAUUUCAUAUUGCCCUGAGUUAAAUUACCUUAAGGUUCUCUACAAAGCCUAUAUUACUACCAUCGUAGCACUGUUACUGGAUACUGUUUGGUUUGUGCAUAUGUGGUUUUUCUUUUGGAAAGUCCACUUUAGAAAGCAUCCAUUCUCUGAUAUGACAGACAAGAAAGGGAGAGAAGACUUUUCCCUGGCAGGUUGUCAGUAUCUGCUUCCUAAAUCCCAAUUCCAGAACUUCAUCAGAGAGCAGGUAGAACAAAAUAAAAACAGAUAAAGAAAUGGGAAAUAAAGUAACUAGGUUUUAUAAAUUCUGAACGACUGGUAAUUUGAAAUAUAGAAUCAGGAACUUUGAGGCUAAGCUAAAAGUAUGUCUUUGAUUCCUUCCCAUAUUAGUAAGAUCAUAGUCCUACAUAUUAAAACAAUGCUCUUACUUCAGGAAAGAUUCAUGGAGUGUUAAGCCCCAAUCAACUGAAUUCCUACUGGUCUUCUCUUUUUUUCUCAUCUACCCCACAACUAAUGAAACAAAAGACCCUGUUCUGCUGAACUAUAAAAAUGAAACCAGUUCUGCCGUUGAACAGGCUGAUAUAUUAGUUAGACUAUUUUAAUUUACUGUGAUUGUUCUCCAACUCUUGCUGAAUCCCACAGUAUUACCACAAGCGUAGUGACCCUACAUGAACAAGUGAGGAAGAUGUAGCAGUGUUGGCUCACACCUAUAAUCUCAGCACGCUAGGAGGCCGAGGCAGGAGGAUUCCAAGUUGGAGUGUAGCCUGGGAAACUUAGUGACUUAGUGAGAAUCUGUCUCAAAAAUAAAAAGUGAAAAUAGGAUUGGGAAUGUAGCUUAGUGUGAAGGCCCUGGGUUCAGUCCCCUGUACUGGGGGAGGGAAAAAGAGACUAGAUUAGUUUCUCAGACUCUUCUGCCUAUGGUUUGGGAUUUGGGAUUAAACUCUACAGAAUUGGGUUAAAAGUGUACUAUCUUUACUCAUCUCAAAACUUGUAAGAAUAUUCUUACCUAGUAUCCUUGCUGAAGCCUGUUAAAAUUAGUAUAUUGCCCUGGUAAGGUUUUGGUUUUUUUUUUUCUUUUUUCUGUUUUUGUUUUUCCUUUAGAACAGGUUUCUCAAGCAAACCUCGUCUUUUAUGACAGAAGAAAGAGUAAGAGAGGAAUUGCCUCUGGAGUGUCAUCAAUAUGUUCCUUCUAAGAUCCAGGACAAAUCCACCUCUAGAGAACAGGUAGAGCAGCGUAGAGAAGGUGUGAUCAAAAAUAUGGUGAAUAUUUAAAUUUUUUUAAAAAAAUUAUUACAAGGAAAAACACAUUCCCACUUAUCUCCCUCAAAAUAUUCCCUCUUGCUUUGAACACACUUUUCCCAUUAUUCUUACCACUUUCUGAAGGAGCUGUUAAAGUUCUCUUUUAGGAGUGUCUAAUUUUGCUGUUGUGGCUGCUUCAGUGUCCUGAUUCAUUAAAAAAUCUUUCUCUUUUAUGUUCAUUUUGACUUUGGAGAAGGGCCAGAGGUUGCACAGUGCUGGUCUGGUGAAUAAGGUGAGUGAGGACACACUGAAAUAUUUUUAUUUGACAGAAAUUGUUGUAAAUGUUUGAUCAAUGCAGGGUGUUUAAAUUAUAUGGUGAAUGUUUAGAUUAAAGAAUUUAUUACGGUGAAAGACACAUUGCCAUUAAUUUUUCUCAAAAUAUUUCAAACACACCCUAUUCUUGGCAAUGUAUCCUUUACUGUAAUAAAUGUUUAAAUAAAUUUAAA